rnacentral:rRNA from 1 species
GACGAACGCUGGCGGCGUGCCUAAUACAUGCCAGUAGAACGCUGAAGGAAGGAGCUUGCUCUUUCUGGAUGAGUUGCGAACGGGUGAGUAACGCGUAGGUAACCUGCCUGGUAGCGGGGGAUAACUAUUGGAAACGAUAGCUAAUACCGCAUAAAAUUGAUUAUUGCAUGAUAGUCAAUUAAAAGGUGCAACUGCACCACUACCAGAUGGACCUGCGUUGUAUUAGCUAGUUGGUGGGGUAACGGCUCACCAAGGCGACGAUACAUAGCCGACCUGAGAGGGUGAUCGGCCACACUGGGACUGAGACACGGCCCAGACUCCUACGGGAGGCAGCAGUAGGGAAUCUUCGGCAAUGGACGGAAGUCUGACCGAGCAACGCCGCGUGAGUGAAGAAGGUUUUCGGAUCGUAAAGCUCUGUUGUAAGAGAAGAACGAGUGUGAGAGUGGAAAGUUCACACUGUGACGGUAUCUUACCAGAAAGGGACGGCUAACUACGU